ensembl:lncRNA
CCCCCACCCCACCCCCACAGCUGGGGACACUGUCGCUUCUGCGCUGCCCCCCCUUCAGGCCUCCCUGCUGGGCCUGCCCUCCCCGGACCUUGGCCUCUUCAUCUGGAGGACCUCCGUAUCCCACGUACCCCCCCAACGCUUCAGCCACAUGCGGCAGACUGGACACCUCAAAGGACUGAGCACCCCGAAAGACUUUGUGCCCCACAAGACUGAGGUCCCUGGGAGUGUGUUUCCCCCCCCCCCCCCCCCCCUCCCUCUGAUGCACUUUUGGUUAAUCAGGUGGGCUUGUGUGAGUGUGUGUGUGUGUGAGUGUGUGAGUGAGUGAGUGAGUGAGAACAUGUGUGUUUCAGUAGAAUCCAGGGCUUUACCUUGCGCUGACAUAAGUGCGACCCCAUCCGACCCCUGCAGCAACAAAAGAAAGCAGCAGCCUCGAUGCAUCACCGCUGUUUGCCUGCCUGUGGACGGAGGUCUUCCCCGCUCGCUCGCUCGCUCGCUCGCUCGCCUCGCGGUGCUCAUGUGACUGCUCUCGACCUCAUGACGGGCGGACGCUCUCACUGACUGACUGAAGGAACACCAGACAUUGGGCUGGGAGAAUCACCCAUCCCCUCUACAAGUCCCUGUCAGACAGACAUCUACCCAUCUAGCUGUGGCCAUGACGGUUGCACCUUUUCCUCUCUGUGUGUGUGUGUGUGUGUGUGUGUGUGUGUGUGUGUGUGUGUGGAGAAACUAAAAAAGGUUGUCAACUGAAAACUUCAUGAAUUGUAAAUUGAACUGUGGACCUGAUAUUGGCUUUGCUCUUCUCCUCAGGUGAGUCAGACACACACACACACACACACACACUUUCAGGUGCCGCUACCUGACAGAGGUCCUCUGUGACGCGUGUCACCUGUAGGCUUGGCCCAGCUCAGUCGUGUGUGUGUGUACAUAGCGUGUGUGUAGAGGAUAAUAUAUUAGCACAGGGACCACUACCCCAGUGGAAGGGCUUCUUUGGCCCUCUGGGUACCAUCAAACCCUUGCGUAAUCAUUUUCAUUUUCGAUUCUUAUUUCUAUUCUUUAAUUUUAUUAUAGGUUGGUAAUCUUGCUUAAGUACACAACUUAUUGGCUCAAUGCCAGAUCAGUUACACAAGAUUUGGCACGGCAUAAAAAGAAAAAGUAUAUGAUAUGCUCAUUAAACUAAUUUGGCACAUGUACGCUGAUACACACAAACAAACACACACACACACACACACACACACACACAAUCACUUUGCAGAAUGUAUUUUGCAGCCUUUUCCCCGUGCUUUGGUGUGCCGUACCUGAAGCAAUAACGCUAUCUCCAAAGACGUUUAAGAGAUCACUACUUAUUUUUAAACUGUUAUUUACCUGUUUCAGUGCUACAUUUUUUUUUUUUUUUGUUACAUUGAAUGUGUUUACUAUGUUUGUUUGUUUGUUUGUUUUUGAGCACCCCACACAAGUAAUGAAAACAAAUACCAAACCUGUUUGCUAUGAUUGAUAUUCAUGUGUUGAAUAAUUUAACCUGUGAAUUGUGUCAUUUGUGUCUGAACACUUGAGUUGCUAAUCAUCUGUCUGCAUGGAUCACAAAGAUGUUAAGCUCUUGUCUAGCCACUUCAGAGCACAGUGCUCUCCUCUGCAAUACACACACACACACACACACACGCACACACACCUUUCCAGAGUAUACUAGUUUACCACAGGGGUGUACAUCACCCAGCAAUGUGUCCCUGCAGUGUGCGUUAUGAUGCAGCAGAAUACUUCAGUGUUAUUUUGGCCUUAACUGGCCAUCAGAUCAGCUCAUCACUACAGGACUGGAAGUAGACUGAGAUGUGCUGGGUUCAGGGGACGGUCAGAUUCAGAUUCACAGGAGGGAUCGACUCCUGAGGGGUCUUCAGUCCGCUCUGGGUCAGACAGACGCAGGACACAGGAGGGAUGGACUCCUGAGGGGGGGCGGUUGCAUGGCCCCCAGGUGUGGAAGAGCUUCAGGAGCUCUGGAUCUGUCUCCCUGGAAAACCAGCCAUCUGAGAGAGGCAUGCCACUAUAGGACCUUGACCACAGCACAAACACACACACCACUUUGAGUUGAUUUGCUGACCUUUCCGUAUUUUUCGUUGUCAUUCCAUUUUUCUCUACAUUCUGGAAUGGUAAGGGACUCACCAUGGCAACUAGUUAUUCCAUAUUUUAUGACCCUAAUUAAUCACAUUCUGACUAUUAGUGGAAACUUGCAGUUUCUAAAUGUUUCACAUGUCGAGACCUGACAAGCACAAGGUUGUGUAAGUGGACCAGUUCGGCCAUGUUUAGAAACCGGUUCACAGAACUCAUUUUACAACACGGGGGGGGGGUGUGUAGUCCAUGUGUUGUGUUGUGCAUCGCUGCAUAAUUAGUUCUGCAGUAAUGCUUUUAAACCUUUAAAACAGCGCAGCGCAGCGCAGCGCAGCCUGUGACUGACUGGCUGACUGGCUGACUGGCUGUGUCUGUGGAUAAUUCUGAUCCGAGAACUGUAUGAAUCCUUUCGCUAACAGAUGCCAUGGUCAGAGUUCAGACUGGUGACGCACGCUUAUACACACAUUUGCCUGCAGCACUGCAGGCAACAGAGCGUCACUGUGGGCAUUGUUAGGGAGCACACACACACACACACACACACUUCCUGCUCUCUUCAGUGACAGUGACUGUGACUGGUGUCUUCAGUGCAAAGCCCCAUGGUGCAUUGUGUUUUUGUGCUUCAGUGCAAAAGCCCCAUGGUGCAUUGUGUGUGUUUUUUUUUGCUUUAGUGCCUGGGUUCCUUUCCUAGUGUUCUCAAUGCACUGACGUUUUACACUAAAGCUGUAUGAAAAGCUGCAUUCUAAAGACGCUACGAGAAGCCCUUGCGUUUCGGAGCAUUUCAUAUCCUGAAGUCUGAGGGUCACCUCACACCUCACCCCCCCCCCACUGAUUUACUGAACAGUGGACUAGACUUAGUUCUGUGGAAUGUUUGUUGGGAGCGUCGUCUUCACGCUGACGUGGCGUUGCCCUCGGCCGGUACCACUCCUGUUGGUAUGGAUGGAUGGAUGGCGUUAGAGAGGUGGUGCUUCCUCCCUUUCUCCACUUGUUUUGGGAUAAGCUCUGUGUGGUGGACUCCUUAGGGGCCCGGCCCGUUUGGUUUGGGGUUUCGCCCUGUAGCGGAACAGAGGACACCCAGCUGAUGAUGAUGAUGAUGAUGAUGAUGAUGAUAAUAUACUCAGGUAUGUGAAAACCAAUGAUUUAUUUUUAAUGCGAAGGCGAGGAGGAGGAGGAAGACUAGCGAGAGCAGAGGACUAGCAGAGGCUGUUUGAUAGCAGUGACUAGCGCUGUUGGGUUAAAGUGAGUUGGAAUGAUUUCUGGGAGGGGGGGGGGGCGGGGGCGCGUAGCGGGCUGCUCCCAGGAGGUAGAAGACUGUGGAACGGCUCAGGCCCCCCACGUCUGGAGUCUCGGCUGUUCGCUGGGUUAUGGGUCGAGCCACUAGGUGGCAGUAAAGGGGUUCCAGACAGACAACACACACAUUAGCAUUUCAAGGUGUUUAACCUGCUUUUGUAUGACAUGCUAUUUCAUAUCAUUUUUUUUUUUUCUAGAUUUUUUGUUUUUGUUUUUUGUAUGUGAGAAUAUGUACAGUUUUGCAUGUCAUAGGUGUAAUCACUUGUUUUUAGGACGAAAAGCUGGAUUUUCCACCUUCUGUUUAUUAUUAUUAUUAUUAUUAUUAUUAUUAUUAUUAUUAUAAUAUUGAGUUGAUUUGCUUGUGUUUUGAAUGGUUGGCAAGUGAAAGCGGACAGCCCACUACAAUGAUGUAGAUUCCUUUUGUUUUCCUUUGCACAGAAAUAUUUAAGGUGGAAUGUUUUAAGACUAAAGUGUAUGGGACUGGCCACCUCCAUUCUUUUAUGUGGAAAAAAAAGCAUAAUAACCUGACUUUGACAUAUUUCAAUAAAAUGGGGAACUGUUAGUUGCUUCUUAAUUGUCUAAUUUGCCUACGUGUUGAGGUACAGAUCUGAAAAACGGAAAAUCCAAACUUUUACUGAGGCCAAUUAACGAUCGACAUCGGUCCAGUAGGCUUACGGAGUUAGAACGCUAUAACUAACUAAACGCAAAAUGGCUAUACAAUGUAGGCCUACCACCAUGGCGCAAGCAUCUACGUCAAAGUAAACCGCUUGUUUUCCCACUGACGGACUCAUCAUGUUAUAAGUGUCUGACCACAUGGAAAGGCCAACGUUUUUAGCCAUACUGUUCCCAAAAAAUGUAUAUGGCAAGCAACAAGCUUCACAUUUAUAUAGAAUUUCUUACAAAGUAUUUUAAUGAACUGUUGCAUUUCCCUAAAAACAUCUACACUGUACACAUUCAACAGCUAGCCAUGAGGUUAAAGUGCUAAAACCAGUUAGAAACAUGUUCUAUAUACAGCACAAUAAGAGAUCCAUAUGCUGCUCCACAUGGGGACAGAAAACACAGGACGGAGGUGUGUGUGUGUACUUUGGAAACACAUGACGGAGGUGUGUGUGUGUGCUUUGGAAACACAUGACGGAGGUGUGUGUGUGUACUUUGGAAACACAGGACGGAGGUGUGUGUGUGUGCUUUGGAAACACAUGACGGAGGUGUGUGUGUGUACUUUGGAAACUGAAGGCAAGAAGAAGGCCCUGGAGAAGCAGGAGAGCAGAGCGCCAAACCGUCUCCAUGGAGACGUCCUCCCACGGAGGAGGGAGGGACCACCUGGGCUGAGUUUGGUUAAAAGGCUGCAUCAGUGUGUGUGUGUGUGUGUGUGUGUGUGUGUUUGAAACCAUGCUGACGGUAAACGGAGCAACUGGCUGCUAGGAGACUGUGGAACGGAUCUGGAGGGGAUUGGGCCGUGACGAGGAGGCGGGCGGGUCUUGGUCUUGGUCUCGACUCGUCCGGCGAUUCUAACUACCAGUCUCAUGUGGCGGUAGGAUAAGACCCAAACCCUCAAACAUUCAAAUGUAUUCAUUCAUCUUUAUCAACUCGACUGGUUUCUGAAGCUUACAGGAGGGGGGGUAGCUUGGGUUUACAACAUUUAUUAUUUAUCAUUUAUAAUAGACAUCUUCUAGUCAACACCGGUGUCUUGCGUGCCAUCUUCAUGAAGCAUGUUAAAGUCCGAGAGAGCACUGAAGCUCACAGGUGCCCCACCAGUAAAUAGAGUGUUCAUGUACGUGUGUGUAAGACCAGGAGGAGGGCUGGAUACACACACACUCCACAGAGCAGCCAUCAUCUUUUACCUUUAUUCAGAUCAGAUCCUGUUCAGGCCUACAUCUUUGUUGUACCCAAUCGGUUUAUAAAGCCAAAAGGAUCGAGCUAGAUCCUCCCCACGUCUGGCGUGGAUCCGGCUGAUCUAGCUCGAUCUUUUUGGAUUAAUAAACUGUGAUUUGGUACAAACAGCAGUGCAGGAUGUUUGAUCUGCCGGUGCCACACCACGCCCUGCCCAGAUCUGGCCCGAGUCCGUUCUGAUCGAUUAAACAGGUCUGACCUGGCCCAGUACACACACACACACACACACACACACACACACACACACACACACACACACACACUGACACACACACACACACAGCCUCAUCUCUUCCAUCCUCUGAGCAGGUCAACAACACACACACACACACCGGUCCAUGUUUCCUUCCACCACCUUCUGUUAAACAUCACUUAGCACAGUUAGAUCAUUUUGCACUUCACUGUACACCUUUUUAAUUUGAUUUACAUUUCGUUUUCGAACACCCAAGCUCAAAAAGCACGGAUGUUUAUGACUCCAUCUAGUCUCUGGUUGUCACCGUCGUUGUUGGUUGUUGUCGUUGUUGUUUUUGGUUCCGAUCAGUCUCUCCAUCCGAUUUGACACAAGUGACAGAUGGGUUCCGGGUGGAGUGACGUGGCAGUGUGCGGUUCCUCUGGUGUCUGGUUCCUGUUGGAGGAACCGCGUUGAGGACACAGAGCGCCACACACACACUGCAUAUCGGCAUGAUGAACACUUAAGUUAGUGGUUAGGACGGACACCCUCUGGAGCUGACACGCCGUUUCCAGAGCUUUCCGUGGUUCCUCUGAAGGUUUGCAUAAGUUACAGUAGCAUCGACAGUAGAGGACUUGGGGUGAAGUAGAGUCCAGAUGAUAAAGACCCCACCCCCACUCUGGGUCCUAGGGGGGGGGGAUUUGCUCAUAAUAGGUCCACACCACAGGCAACAUCACAGGCACAUCCAGGAGU